rnacentral:rRNA from 1 species
CGGAAUAACUCAGGGAAACUUGUGCUAAUACCGAAUGUGCCCUUCGGGGGAAAGAUUUAUCGCCUUUAGAGCGGCCCGCGUCUGAUUAGCUAGUUGGUGAGGUAAAGGCUCACCAAGGCGACGAUCAGUAGCUGGUCUGAGAGGAUGAUCAGCCACAUUGGGACUGAGACACGGCCCAAACUCCUACGGGAGGCAGCAGUGGGGAAUCUUGCGCAAUGGGCGAAAGCCUGACGCAGCCAUGCCGCGUGAAUGAUGAAGGUCUUAGGAUUGUAAAAUUCUUUCACCGGGGACGAUAAUGACGGUACCCGGAGAAGAAGCCCCGGCUAACUUCGUGCCAGCAGCCGCGGUAAUACGAAGGGGGCUAGCGUUGCUCGGAAUUACUGGGCGUAAAGGGAGCGUAGGCGGACAUUUAAGUCAGGGGUGAAAUCCCGGGGCUCAACCUCGGAAUUGCCUUUGAUACUGGGUGUCUUGAGUAUGAGAGAGGUAUGUGGAACUCCGAGUGUAGAGGUGAAAUUCGUAGAUAUUCGGAAGAACACCAGUGGCGAAGGCGACAUACUGGCUCAUUACUGA